GCUAUACAUGCAAGUCGAGCGGACCGACGGGAGCUUGCUCCCUUAGGUCAGCGGCGGACGGGUGAGUAACACGUGGGUAACCUGCCUGUAAGACUGGGAUAACUCCGGGAAACCGGGGCUAAUACCGGAUGCUUGAUUGAACCGCAUGGUUCAAUCAUAAAAGGUGGCUUUUAGCUACCACUUGCAGAUGGACCCGCGGCGCAUUAGCUAGUUGGUGAGGUAACGGCUCACCAAGGCGACGAUGCGUAGCCGACCUGAGAGGGUGAUCGGCCACACUGGGACUGAGACACGGCCCAGACUCCUACGGGAGGCAGCAGUAGGGAAUCUUCCGCAAUGGACGAAAGUCUGACGGAGCAACGCCGCGUGAGUGAUGAAGGUUUUCGGAUCGUAAAACUCUGUUGUUAGGGAAGAACAAGUACCGUUCGAAUAGGGCGGUACCUUGACGGUACCUAACCAGAAAGCCACGGCUAACUACGUGCCAGCAGCCGCGGUAAUACGUAGGUGGCAAGCGUUGUCCGGAAUUAUUGGGCGUAAAGCGCGCGCAGGCGGUUUCUUAAGUCUGAUGUGAAAGCCCCCGGCUCAACCGGGGAGGGUCAUUGGAAACUGGGGAACUUGAGUGCAGAAGAGGAGAGUGGAAUUCCACGUGUAGCG
rnacentral:rRNA from 1 species